ensembl:lncRNA
AGCUCUAUCUUGUAUGACAAAGAACUCUAUAUUAUAAUGUGUAUUUUUAGGGUUCACAAUGACAUAGCUCAUCUGUAGAUGCAUUUUAUCAAGGUAGGAAAAAAAAAUUAUUUCCAGAUUGUUACCAAAAUUACAGCACCUGGCUAAAAUUAAAGACAUGUCUAAAGAAUGAAGACUAUAUUAGUAUCUAUUUGAAGUAAUCCUCUCUUGUCUGUAUACAAACCAAAGUACAAAAGGAACCUAAACUAAUCAUCACAGCAAAAACAGAACAAUAUUUGAAUGCUGAACAGAAAAAUAAGUCCAGUGUAUCUGAAGUUUUCUGUUCUACUAGAAAUAUAGAUGUAUUUUGUGACCUCCAUGCAGUUAUUAGAACCCUAGUUCUAAUUAACUCCCAGUUAAAUAAAGGAUAUCUCAUGUUACCCAUCUUACUAUAUUGUCCUAUGAAGUUAGAAAAGGUUCACAGGUAACUUUCACAGACUAAUUACUGUUUAAAAAGGCAAUCAACAUCUGCCACUCUGUUGUUAGCUAAUUACAUUUUUCCAGUCAUUAGUGUUGCUCAUUGAGACCUGACUGAAUGCCCUUUAAAACCAUUAAGCCUUUUAAAAUUCUUUUUAAGUUGAUUUUGUUUCUGUAGGUAAGAUGCUAACAUUCAUUUGGAGAUGUUAAGGGAAAUGAUUCCCCCAAUAGAUUUUCUGAUCUAUGUGGUUGUUAGACAAAUGAUGAGCUUCGCUCAAGAAUGUGCUCAUGUCUUCUACUGUAGACUUGCUGUAUGCGGUAUAUUUCCUCAAAAGCGAUGGAGUCUAGAGUUGAACUUUGGUUCCCAGUACAAUUACAGGAAAUAUUUUCUGAGACUUCAUGAUUGAGCCAUUUAUUCUAUAACUUGGUAGAACAUUUUAAAAUUAAAAUGAAUCUAAGUAAUGCAAAUCUGGAAUAAAGUUUUCGUUCUCAGUUGGAAGCAAUCUCCAGUAAUUCUUGCAUAAUAAAAGCAGAUUUCCUAAUUUCUGCUAAAAGCAUAUCACUUUUCAAGGUUUGUUUGUUUUGAUAGGUUUUUGGUUGUUUGGUUUUGUUUUGUUGAGUUUUUUGCAUGUAUAAAACAUAGUAAGAAGCUCUCUUUAAUACUCAUUGAAAUAUAUAAAUGCUUUCUUUUCUAAAACAAUUAUCUUUGAAAUUUAGGAUGUUUUACCGUAGAAUAACAAGAUUUCUUGAGAAAGCAUUUUUCAAGCUUCAGGCUUGUACAUCAGAAGAAAGUUUUGUAGGAACAAGAUCACACCUGUGCUAUAUCAAUGUAGGACACAUAUUCAUACAUCAAAAAGAAAAAGAAAGAAAGGAGUUGAAUAGUUGAUUCUGUAAAUCCUGUGUGUUCCCAAAGAAGUUUUCAAGAUACCGUAUAGAAAUGGUGAAAACUUUCUGAUAUCUUUUAGCGAUGUAUAUAUGAAUGUGAAAAUAGGAUAAUGGAAAUGCUUCAGUGGUCUAAUAAGAGUAGAAUUAAUUUUGAAGACAUUUUUCAUUUCUCCUUAUUGCUUCUGUACACUUUCAAUUCAGCUGAGGCAUAGUUUCUUCUUAUUAAGUGUUUCAUAUGGUGUUUUUAUGAAGUGUGAGAAUACCUGUUUAUGUCAGGUCUAGCACUGUUCUUGUUGUACUGGAUGUGUUAGCUGGAUGACAUGAUGAUGAACUACUGAACUGCUUGUUUAUGACAUUCUCAGUUUCUUUUCUUUCCUUUUGCAGAGUAAAUAGAACAAAAUUCAACAUCAUUUGCUUUUUUUUUUUUUCCUUUUUUUUUUUUUUUUUUUUUUUUUGCAUUUGUUGCAACUGGGCAAUCUUUAAUGUCCCUUGCCAACCAAAGACAUUGUAUGAUUUUCUAUAUUCACUCAUUACUCCAUAUUCACUCCAUAUUCAUUGCUUAGGUAGUAACUCAUUUUAUUUCUUCUUGAACUUAUAACAGCCCUGUAGAAUCAUUUGAAAAAUUCAGUGGAAAAGUCUUUCACAAACAGCUUCUUUUUCCUUUUUUCCUUCUUUUCCAUCCUCUUCUUCCCAAAACAGAGCUGAAAAGAUAAUUAAGGACACUCUCAUUCAAAUGAAAUGUCACUUUUCAGGAAGUAUUACUUCAGUUUAAUAUCAUCACAGCAUUUAAAACAAUUGGCUUUUUUUUUUUUCCUUUAUUCUAUAUGGUAUUUUGAAUGUUAUGCAAGUUUUUAAUGUAUGUAUUAGAUUUUACGAUGUAGUAAUACGAACAACUGGGAAGAAUACUCUAUUAGGAUAGACUCCAGUUAAGCAAAGUAGCAUUAUGACAGAUAAUUCAAUCCUGCUGAUCUUAUUCAGGUUUCACUCACUCAAAAUCCAUGCUGAUAUCAAGAAAUGUAAUAUGAACUUCUUAAUUUGAUCUGCAGUUAAUUUUUUAUAAUUUAUUUUCAAACAGAAGAUAUAUCUGUUAAAGAUUGAAUUGAGUUAUUCCAACCACUGCCUUGCUUAGCAGGUGGUGUGAAAUAGCCUUGUCUCAGGAAGAGCAAUUCAAGAUAUUGCAUCUUUUCACAGUGCUGAGAAGCCUAUGACCUGGUAGACCUUUGCCCACUUUGUUUUCCUGCUUGUAAUUGUAGCUGUCACUGUGAAAUAGUGUUUGCAGUUCACUGUCAGAGACACUUGUCCCGAAUGCCCCCUUUCACUCCCAUGCAGGUGGAUGCAACUUUAGAGAAGCCCUCUCUAUAUAGUCCAGGCUAAAAAUGCUGUACUGGAAGAAUGGAAGUGUUGCAAUACCACUAGCCAGAUGAACUUUUUUUGGCACCAGCACUACUUUUAUCAUGCACAAGAAAAAUACUUAGUUAAAGAUAUUUACCUGGCAUUCUCAUUGAUUCCAGACCUCAAACUGGAAACUAAGUUCCUCUAUUUCUGGCAGCUACCACUUUAUUUUCAUAGAGUAACAACUGGCAAAUAACUUUCUGAAGGAAGCACAAGGCUUUUUAUUACAUGGUUUUCAAUUAUAGUGUUGCUGAACUUUGCAGAUAUAAGCCAACACAGACUCUGCACUGGGUUAUAGAGCUCUGUGGACUGUUCUUAAGGGACUCUGGUGCUAUUUGAAAGAAAGGAAUGUGGCUAUCUAUGAUUGUAACAACUACAAUACUGCAUAGCUCUUAUAAAGAUUGAAUAGCACCUACAGAACUGAAAGGAACUGCUGGGAAGAACUCAAAAUACUUGCUAAAGGAAGCAAGCAUUUCAACCUCUGCCUAGAUAAUGGAGAGUUAGAUAAGAAGUGAAGCUGAAUGAUUUGGUUUAAGUCACUCAGCAGGUAAAAGAUAAUAAAAUGUAAUGGGCAAAACAGCAGUUGAGGGUGGAAGAUGCACCAGGAAAUGAAACACAGGAUGUAUUCUGAGCUGCCAUUUGUUUUGAGACCUGGACUCUCUAAUUUGUGGUAGAGAAAUACCACCAUCAUUACUGGAAUCCCACUCAGUUUUUCUAGGCAAUGGAAUGAAACAGCUAGACUAGUGUGUGCAUGCUGUGCACAUAUAAACAUUCUAGACUUGAAUUGAAGAAGCUUGUUACUAUCCUCUUUUGUCCAUUAUAGCUGUAUUUUGCUAUAUCUGCAUUACCUCUUGCCGUGGUAAGUUAUGAUGUUUUAUGUUUGAUGAACAAGACAUAUGUAUCAUAAAACCAACAAGGACUUGAGUCUCCUGAUAGCAUCCAAUGCCUUCACUAUAUAGCAUUGAACACAACAGCAAUGGACCCUAAAAACUAUUAAACUUUAUAGCGCAGGCAAUUCUAGAAAUAGCAACAGUUUUAUUUUAUACCACUUUAUGGAUAAUUCUGAGGUAAUUAGGUAUUUUUUUGUCUAUUUUGAAAGUUUUCUUAACUAGCUUGAUCAAGGUAAGAAACUUUACUUUGUAAUGCAGAGUCAACAAAAAAAAAAAAAACCACUAACAACAAAAAAAAACUGUAGGAAUAUAAUCAAUGAUCUACGAAAUAUAUGCCUUUUAUAUAUGACAUCGUAUUUAUUUUCAAAAAAAAAAAACCUUGUCCAUGAUAAAAACGACAUCAAAUGUAUACUGGGGGAAAAAAAAAAAAAAAAAAAAAAAAAAAAAGGUUUUGCUGUCCCUUAGUUCAUAUUUACAUGACUUCAGAGUGCUUGGCUUACUUUAGCGAUUUUGCUGUCCUGAUAGGUUUACCUACUUAACACUUGUCAUUAUAGAAAAGUAUCUCCAAGUUCAUGGAUAGUUUUAUACAAUUUCCAAGUUGCGUGUUCCUGCAAUUAGUAGCAUGAGUUUAAUUUUGGUAGGGAAUAGAAGGUCUCAAAAAUUGUUUUUGCAGCCUUUAUGAAAAUCUGUUUGUUUGGGAGAAAAUAAUGAGACAUCCAAAAAGUUACCUUUUGCCAACUCAGCUUUGUCAAUUUCCUACAAGAUGUACUAAAAUAUCUCUGUUACCUUAACCCACUGAUUGGAAUUCAUUUUCUUCUUAUGAGAAGUUACUUUAGUGUGGCAGCUAGGGAACUAUGAGGCGGAAUCAUCAACUAGCUUCAAGUACCUAGCUUUGGCCAUCAUAGGCGCCUAGGGUACCAAUAUAUUCAGUGGUGUGAUCUUUGCUUACAGAAAAGAAAUCAGAGUACCUAACAGUCUUCACAUGUACCUUAUUUUCUCCGUUGGGUGGUUGAAGAGACUAAUGUAUCUAAAAAAUACCUCCUUAUUCCACCUAAAUAUUCAAAUUAUCUCUUAAUCCACUGAUUUUAUUAGGAACUGAUUUUAGCUGGUUUCUCAUAGACCAGAGUAUGCUAAUAUUAUCAAGAAAUUAAACACAAACCAAAACUUUCUUGUAGACCUCAGUUCUCCCCUAAUUAGUUUACUCGAGGUUAAUAUAAUCAGUGCUCUGCCAUAGCUGCAUAAAGACAGUGUUGGUGUUAAUGUGGAGAAAAAGUACUGAAGGUAGCACUUCACAAAUAGUCGGAUUGUAAAAAGAAGUUAUAUGAGAAAGGUGAGAUGAUAGAAUGAUACCAUAUAAUUUCCAUAAAAUAACAUCACAUACAUUGAAAACUAGAAAUGACAGCAUUUAGUUUAUUCCUUGUCCUCGUUCUUGCUCUAUUGUGCACAUUUAUUAAUUUAGUCACCCUAAGGAGAUGAUCACAUGCUCUUCCAUUCUACUCAUGAUUCUUUCAGGACACUGAAAAUGUGUCAGAACUGUAUAGCAAAUUAAGUUAAUUUAUGUUAUUGCUUUAUCACAGAAUCAUACAGAAUGGCUUGGGUUGAAAGGAACCUCAAAGAUCACCUAGUUCCAAAUCCCCUGCUGCACCCCCCAUAUCCAGUUGACCAGGGCUCCAUCCAGUGUGGCCUUAAACAUCUCCAGGGAUGGGGCAUCCACAACUCUCUGGGCAGCCUGUUCCAGCACCUCACCACCCUCCCUGUGAAAAAGUUCCCCCAGCAUCUAAUCUAAAUCUUCCCAGCUUUGGUUUAAAACCAUUUCCUUUUCUCCUAUCACUCUCUACCUAUUUAAAAAGUUUAUUUCACUCCUAUUUAUAAGCUGCCUUAAAUACUGGAAGGCCAUAAUGAGGUCUCCCUGGAGCCUUUUCUUUUCCAGACUGAACAAGCCCAGUUCCCUCAACCUAUCUUCAUAGGAGAGGUUCUCCAGCCUUCUGUUAAUAUUAGUGGCACUCCUCUUGACCAUCUUCAACAGCUCCGCACCUUUCUUGUGCUGGGAGCCCCAGACCUGAACACAAUAUUCCAAAUGGGACCUCACAAUGGCAGAGGACAAGGGGACAGUCACCUCCCUCUCCCUGCUAGCCACCACUCUUUUGGUGCAGAUGUUGUUGGCCUUCCAGGCCACAAGCACAUACUGCCAUCUCACGUUAUGUUUUUCAUCUACCAGAACCCCUCCAAGUCCUUUUCCAUAUGUAUACAUAUCUGGGAUUUUCUCAAUCCAAGUGCAGCACCUUGCACUUGGUCUUGUUGAACAUCACUUGGCUCACAUGGGCCCACCUUUCAGGUUUGUCCAGAUCUCUUUGGUUGGCAUCCUUUCUUCUGUCCUAUCAAUUAUGCCACUCAACUCAGUGUCAUCAUGGUGACUGAUGAUGCACUCAAUCCCAUCAUCUAUGUAAUUGAUGAAGGUGUUAAAGAAUACUUGUCCCAAGAUGGACCCAGGGGGGAUACUACUUGUCACUGGCCUUUAUCUGGACAUAGAGCCAUUGACCACAUCCCUCUGACUGCAACCUUCCAACCAUUUUCUUAUCCACCAAAUAUUCCACCCUUCAAACCCAUAUCCCUCUGAUUUAGAGAUAAGGAUGUGGCAUGGGACCGUGUCAAAAAUCCAUCUCAUAGCUUGCAGAAUUUGGAAGGCCGUGUCUUUCUAGAGCUGUCCAUCAUCCAGACUAACCUCUUAUUACAGAGAUGUGUGAAUCUAUAUAAGAAGUUUAAGAUAAAUAUUAAUGUGAUAAAUUCUUUGUUCUUCAUUGAGUAUGUGGCUAACUUAGUCUUUAUUUUCAGAACUUUGGAGCUCUUAGGGAAGUACUGUACAUUUUGAAUGGUGCUCAAGGGUCUGAAUGUGUUCAGCAUCAUUUGAAAUAAAUUAGUGGGAUCUGGAACACUGAGCUUCAGAAUGGGAGUCUCCCAAAGCCCUGAAUUAUGAAUUAUGAACCCAGCAUUAGCACCCCCUCCAGCAUUUGUCAGCUCUUAGACUCGCAGCGAUCUUCCAGCCUAUCAGGUGAGCUAUAGUAUUUCUCUAUUUGUUUUUAGUCUAUAUUAGAAGUGAGAUAGUUUAGCUUGAAAUUGAAGUAAUUCAGUCUGAAAUAAAAGAGGAAUAUUUUAAGCUUGUUCAUCUAACGUGUGCUAUUGGAAGAGAGUUCAUCUACAGAAGUAUAUGAUGCAUGUGACAUCUGUCUUAUGUGCUGUCUUUCUGUGGUAAGGAAAGUCAAUGUUUAAUCACCUUUCUCACAAAAAUAACAUAAAAAUGGUCAAAAAUAAUCAAAAUAUAUUUAUAUGAUGAACACAGAAGAAGCUUUUAAAAAUACCAAGUAUUCUGAGAAAUCCUCUUUUCUUGGUAUAACUUAACUCAUUCAGAUGGUAACAUUAAAAAUAUUUUGCUGAUUAUGGGAUGUUAGUGAGGUUUUUUUUGUUUGUUCUGUUCUCCAUUUUUUUAUCUUGAAAAAUUUUGGUAACUUCAUGAACUGUUUUGAACAUACAUUAUCAAUGCUUAUAAAGUUCAAUUACUGUAUCAUUCCUAUGACAAAUGAUGAUCAAUGAAAACCUGUAGGAAAGCAGAUGAUCUUACACCAUAUUACUAAAGUUUAAGACAGAUAAAAAUAUUUGUUUCAUCCUUGUUUCCUGAAAGAGUUAGGUCUUCUGUGAAAAAAUAUAGGAAAGGGUUUCAUGUUCUCAUGUACAUAUCUAAAGAACCUAAUAUAACUCUUCUUAAAAAAUGCAUCUAACAUUUCUUAAAUCUUCCAUCUUUAAUACUUAUGAGCACAGUUAAUUUUAUUUUAAUUGGUGAGUUCAUAAAACAUCAGGAUUCAUCUACCUCCAUUUUUUAAUUCACAUUUUCUGACAUUCUCAAUUUCAUCUACUCCACUUUCCAUUAUCUCAUGUAGUUUUCCAUUUUAUAGCCUCUGUACACCACUUAAGCACAUUUUUUGAGAUAAGGUCUGAACACCAUUUCCACAUUUCCUACUUGUAACAACCUCAAAGAGGCAUUUUCUUGCAGGAACACCAGAGGCCUGUGCAGUGAGCAGUGUGCCUGUUUCUGUUUGUUAUGCAGAGCAAGGUAGAUAUUGAGGAGCUAAGCAAAUAAAAGGGCUGGAAGGUUUUCACAGUUUCUAAGGACUUCUUGACCCUAAGAUGUCUGCAGAUGAACAUGACUUAUUUCAAAUAUUUUUGAUUCAAUCAAAACUCAUUUUGUAAUUAUGAGCAUCAUUCCCAAUGUUUCAUUAAUUUUUCAGACACAUGGUAUGAGUCAAGUGUAAAUGAAGAAUUAGGUCUUACUUUUUUGUUCUUGUAUCCUCUUAUUUUUUGUUCCAAUUUUCACAGUUAGUUCAAAAUUUGGUCUAGCCCUUGUAACUUCACUCAUACCUUGUAACUUGUAUAACUAAUUUUGACAUUGCCAAAUGUGUUUUCAUUCCUAUCUUUUGCAUUGCUUCUAUUUUGUUCAAUAUUAAUGUGACCAGAAGCAAGGAAUAAUGACCCUUGACUUUUGUAAAGUAGAUCCAUAAAUGUAAAUAUUUCUAUCUGUAUUUCUAUUGGGAUUUCACCUUUUGAUGGUUGGAUUAUGAGUCAAUGUGUAUCGUAACUAUUUUGAUACUAAAAAAAUCCAUGAAAAUUUAUACUUUGUUAUAGGAAUUGAUACAAAAGCCCAAUCAAUAUAAACCUUUUCUUUAUAAAUCCAGAGGUGGAUUUUUGUACAAUAUUCUGUCAUCAUGAGGAAUUGUUGAAUCAAGCUUCCCAGGACAUUUGAAUUGCAUUUUAUGAAGUUAUAUGACGUUGAAAGAGCAAUUCAGUGUUUUAUGCAUGUGCCUGUGGUGGCUGUGCUCUUCCACAGCACUAACUGUUGAGAAUUACAGUCGUAAAGUCUGUAGGUUUAAUUCAGGAGUUUUCCAUCAACUGUUGCUUUCACACUGGCUUUCCUUCUGGCUUUGAGAUCAAUUUACACACAGGAUUCAGCGUUUUGUCCUUCAGUAGACAGAAAUGCUUUCAUCUUAUUCUUCCCUCUGGACCAAAGAGGAAGUGCAGUCUGAGUACAUAUGAAGCAAUUGCACAAUUCUAGCAGAGACACAGGCAGCUUUAUUCAUAUAUUUUGUUAUUGGAUUAGGAAAAAAGUAAAGUAAUAACACAUGAGAAAUAAAAGUAACUCUGUCACCAUCCUGAAAUAUUCCUAAACAUUCAGUAACACCAUAAGAGAGGCCUGUAUUCACUACAAACAAUAAAACCGUAGCAUUAAACUAAUCAAAUUACUGUUCAACUGCAUAAUUUCAGUGAAGAGGUACUUAUGAAACACAAAAUGAACUUAAAAAUGGAAGGCUCUUUGCUUUGUAAUCAAAAGCAGUCAGAUUUAAACAUCAGCCAGUUAGGUGAUAAGUUUGUCAUUUUUCACCUGCAGUCUUGGAGAGAAUUUGCCCAAAAGGCUUCACUUCACAGAGCAUUUUCGCCAACUGAUGAACCUCAUUUUGAUAAACUCGAAGAACUGGGAGGGUGGGAGGAGAGGCAGGGUAACAGUAGUUCUAUUAAAAUAUUUUUGCAUCAAUCAAGUUGGGUUUAUGGUGUGAAAAAUACAUAGGUCCUGAAAAUAAACUUCACUGCUCUGCAGAUCUGAUUCUUUCUUGUCUGUGUCUGGCUACUUUGGAGAAGUACAGAGAUGCAAUACAUCAUUAAAAGCCAGAAAUCAGGUAGGCUGAAUUAAAAUGGGAAGAUCUGAAUGAAUAUAUUAUUGCUAUAUACAAUUAACAGCAGAAGUCAGAAAUCAUAGACUUUCGUAAAUUAGAACAAUGGCCGCUCUCCAGUGAAAACAUAUUUAUAGUGGUUUUACAUUGCUCUCUACAGGCAAUGUGCAAAAGGGAGAGACGCAAAUUAAUAUGCAGUAAGGCAGUAACAGAAAAACCUGUCUUUGAACUCUUAUUUCCUUUUAAUCAGCAUGAGUUCUGCUAAAUAGGAGAAAGAAUUAUGAGUAGGUGGAGUGCAUCUAGGUUACUGAGGGUAAAUCACUCAGAGGAAUAACUUUGCAGUUUGAGCAAUGGCGUCUGACCUUUACAUGACUUGAGAUGAACAGGUCUUCUCUGUUUUAACCCAGCAUGAGCAGCAAUUGCAAGGCAGCUAACCCGAAGUCAUACAACUGUCUUUUCCUACAUCAAAGUCUCUUUUGGCAGUUAUACCAUUGUCCUGGAUGAAUUCUCUAAUGCUGACUAAUGUCUUCUAUUUCACAUCCUCAAGCGUGGGAUUCUGUUGGUAUUUUUGUAAUGUCUGAUAUCGGUGGAAGUCUCAUUAAGUUUCCAAGGUUCUUAAAUUGCUACUUGGAGUUUAUUUGUCUUGUAACUCAGGUUAUAAAAGUAGCACCAUAAACAUUAAUUGAACAACCAUUAAGCAGCAUGGUUGUUUGUUUUGGGUUGAUAGAGGACAUAAAGCUUCAUACCCUGUGGUGGAAAACAAUUAGAUCCGAUGAUGAACAUGCUAUUAAAUAAACCAUUACCAGACUUCUAUCAUUUUAACUUUAGAAAGUAGCAACCAGCUGUGGCUGAAUCAUAUACAAGUGAUAGAAAGUUGUAUUUUAAUUGUCGUGUCAUAGCCCGUUAUAAAUAUUGUAGUUUUUAAUGUUUUGUGCUAAUGACAGUGACUAAUAGUAGUCAUUAUCUCCAUUCAUUCUCAUAAAAAUUUCUUCAAGAGAGGCUGAUCAUAACCAGAAUGCCAUUUAAAAUUAAACUGUGUUUUCCUAAAAUAGAGAACAUAAAGAACAUUUAAAUACCAAGAGGCUGGCUAGCUAAUUUAUUUUGUUUUGAGCAUGUUUGACAACUACAGCUGUUGUUAACUGUGUCAUGAGUUGAACUGAUAUUUCUUUCAAAAAUAUUUUUGGCACACUAAUGUGUAUGCAUGUCAUGUCUUCAUGUGCUCUCUGUAGCAUGGGAUAAAAGGUGAACUUCACAGUGGGAUACCUGUGGCCAGAAACAAAUAUGGUGCUGCCCCUGUAAAACCUUAAUAUUAAUAACACUGAAUGUCUUCAUCCAUUUCUUAUUUCAGCUAUGCAUUCUGCUUACUUGACAGGUACAGAGUACUUCAUUAUGCGCACGAACAGAAAUGCUUAAAUGGAUGAAGCAGCUAUUUAUGUAUGAUAGGAGCUAAGUGGGACAUUAAAUUAAUGCCAAACAAGUGAGUGCUCAUUUUAGUUUUGUUAUAAAUGGCUGCAGCACAGCAGUAAUGUGUUGACUCUCAUGUGCUGACAAGUUCUAUAUUUCUUACAAAAUUCCCUUAGAACUCAGUGUGGAAAGACAAAUUCACACUCUGCAUGAUGAAAUUAGCAGCAGAUGCAUUAAUAAUUGAAUAAGAAUCUCUGGAGAGACACCAUAGUUCAGCAGGGAAGUUGGUGACUGACUCUUUUUAACUAGGGAUUUCUGUGAUAUAUAUGCAUUUAAAUAAGCCCCGAGGUGAGAAAUUCUGCAUGUAGCUUUUGGUAUUGUUUUUGCUUUUAGAAGGCCUUACAUAGUUACACACUGCUUGAGUGGUCAAUGGGCAUAUGACCUUGUUUGUCUCUCCUUCCUCUGUAACUCUUCUCAAACUUUCAGUCAAAUUCAACACAGAUCCUUUUGAAUUUAUUUCCAAAAUAUGAGUGCAAGGCUUCACUCUAUGCAAGAUGCUUGACAUGGAACCACACAUCUUGAGUUCCUAUAGAGCUGAAACAUUUUCCUGUAGUGUAGCAAGCAAUCUGAAAGACCCAGCAGAAAAGUAUUAAGACAGUAUACUGUUUUCUUCUCUUCCAUGCUUUUGCAGGGAUUUGAUGUCCUCUGAGUGAAUCACAUCGAAUCAUAGAAUGGCCUGGGUUGAAAAGGAACACAAUGACCAUCGAAUUUCAACCCCCCUGCUAUAUGCAGGGUCACCAACCACCAGAUCAGGCUGCCCAGAGCCACAUCCAGCCUGGCCUUGAAUGCCUCCAGGGACGAGGCAUCCACAACCUCCUUGGGCAACCUGUUCCAGUGUAUCACCACCCUCUGUGUGAAAAACUUCCUCCUAAUAUCUAACCUAAGCUUCCCCUGUCUCAGUUUAAGACCAUUCCUCCUUGUCCUAUCACUAUUCUCCCUCGUAAACAACUGUUCCCUGUUUAUACACUCCCUUCAAGUAUUGGAAGGCCACAAUGAGGUCUCCCUGCAGGCUUCUCUUCUCCAAGCAAACAUGAAUUUCAGGUUCCAAAAUUUGUAUUCCUUUUGAUAAUAAAAGGAAACAAGAAGAUUUGCAGAAAAAAUCUACUUUUUACAGAUGACCCAAAGCCAUAACACAAAUCCUAAUGCUUAAAUUAUGAUAAUUCUUCACACCAAGUAAUAUUAGGCUCAGAAGACACUGACAAAGCAGUUUGAUAUCUAGUAGACAGCAAUACCACCCAGAUAAAUUCUUGUAGAUUUAAGAUCGGUUUUUUAUUGCACUAGUGCCAAGAUACUGAUAAAAAUUUGAAUAAUCUGAGAAUUUGUCCCAAUUGAAGGAAGCGUAGCAAAAUCUAGCACAGUAGUAUUUGAUUAACACCACAUACUUGUCAGCUCUACUAACUGUUCUUGCAAGUUUCAUUCACUUGUUUGGGGUUCUGUAGAUGGAUCCGACCUCUGUGUUCUGUUUUCCUUCAGUUGCAGGUUAUUUUACAAAUCUCAGGAUCUGGAAGACAGAAAACUUUAUCUUCUAAAUGUCUAUCUGUAUUCCUAGAGUUUCGUCAGCUAAAGGAAAGCUAGUUUUAAUCUUAGGUUUUGAACUUAUUAAUAUUGGUUGGCAAUGUUUCCAGUAAACGAUGAUAUGAUUUAAUAAAGUGGUUGUCUUUUAAAAAGUCCAUUUUUACAAAUAUGAAGUUUAGUUUCUUCCUUUUAGAUAGGAAACGUUUUUAUUGAAUAACAGUGGAUAUGUUAUUUAAUCAAUACAAAUUUGGUAUCAGUCUUUUCCUAAUCAAGAUAAUGAAUUUAUAAUCUUUUUAGUACAAGAAACGUUUUAGAAAUUUAUUUUGUCUCUUGAAAUAGGAGAUAAGUCUAAGAUAUUCAUAUUUGUUUAAUGAUAUACUGCCUUGAUCUAUUAGACACCUUGAAAUAUACUGCAAGUGAUGAAAGAACAGCACAUUUUUUGCUUUGCAAUACACUGAUGCAGAUGUUGAAGAUCAAUAUAUCCAAUAAAGUCGUCAUCCUAAAAGUAUACUCUGGUUUCAGCAUCACCUCUUCUUUUGGGGUGUUUGAAACAAAGAUAUAGAAAGUAAAUUGAACUCAUCUUUAGUUAGCAGGCAUAACAUUUCUGUGUAAUAUUUUUCAUUUGAUCAAUGCAUGUAUAAUAUAUUUUGUUGCUGUUUUAAAAAAAGAAACAUGUCAAUAUUAUCUGAGCUUUUAAGGAAAAGACUAGAUACAUAAACAAGAUUGUGCACUGGUAGAAGAGAAGAAUAUACCUGAAUUACUUAGGCCAAAGAGGAAUAAAGAGAUACAGAUGAUGAGGAGAAGAGAGAUCACAAGUCAUUAACUAUGGCUUUAUGUUUCAUGUCUCUGUAUAGUGUGUUUAAUCCUAUUAACUGCUCUCCAUUCAUUCUGUUGUUUCCAUGGAAUAGGAUUCUAAAUCUGCUCCAGAUUAAUAUUAUGCAGUUUGAUAACUAUUGUAGCUUUUUUUAGUAGGUAGAAGGUUCAUCAGAGGUGCCUUUGUUUAUUCCUAACACCUGAAGCGAUCACUGAAUUUCACAUCUCUGGGAAGUUAUCAUUCCUGUAGAAGUAAACAGGUGUUUCUAAAGCUUUCUAGUGGAUGACUAAACCAAUGGCUUUUAUCAAGGUUUUGCAGGUCACUAGAUGUUCAAAAUAGCAGAGGAAAUCAAAAGAACUGCCUGUCUUUUGCUAUCACAGUAAUUUUGCACUUGAGCAUACAAGGAUUGGCUAAUAUAAAAAGUACUGAGGAAGACACGGAGUGAUUCUCUUCAAGCUCUGCCUUGGGAAGUAACAGUAAAAGUUACAUUUCAAAUUACAACUUUACUUGAAAUGUGACUUCAUUUAUUUAUUUUUUUAAACAUUUUCAAUGCCAAGUUUUUGUCCCUUGACAAUGUCAAAUUGGACGCAAUCCACUUCAAGGCAGAAAGAUAAGCUUCUAAUUGCCAGUCUGGUAACCACUCCCUAGAGAUCAAGUGGUAUACUUUUUGCUUUAUGCCUUACCACUAAUAUUGAUACUUUUGCAACCCAGAAAUGCUUUUCCCUUGAGCAUUUACAACCUUCUUCAAAGUCUUCAUACUUUUCCCCUCUUCUGCCAUCUGUCACACAGCAGCAAAAUGUACUGCAGUAUUGGUGGGAAGGUUCAACCUCUACUGCCAUACCACCACCACCUGCCUCUGAUGUCAUUGCCCAACAUAAUAAAAUAUGAGGCAUUACUUAUGGAAGGAGAAAAGUGUAGAAGAUAGUAGAUAGUAGAUGGUUUUUCUUUGAAAAAUAUGAAGUUAUGAUUCUUAGAUGAUACCAAGGAUGAUCAACUGAAAAUAGGUAAGGAUGUAGUCUGGAUAUUGACAGUGACUACAAAGUAACUACACAUAAUUAAUCUAGAAGUAUCACUUGCUACAAAAGAAGAGAACAGUUCAGACUUCAAAUGAUGAGUUGGAGCGACUCCUGUAAACUCUUGUGCCUAGAUCUGUGCAGAAAGACAAAUGUUAACACAGGAAGCCUCCUUGCCAGGGCAACAGGCUGCACUCUGUAGAGCUUGAACACUGUGCUUACAUGAAGUUAAAGCCUCUAAGCUGAACCUGGCUUUUUGAUUUGUUUGUUUCUUUUUUAGCAGUGGUCAAAUAGGGGCUAGUAAGGUAUGCAUCAUUUUCCAAAGUAUUAAAAUAGGCAGUAAAUUAGUAGUGUUUAUGUAAGUAAUCCAGGUGACAACCAUACUCUUACAGGGGUUAAAGUCUAAAGCCAUUGGAUUUUUAAAUGCUGAACAUGUUUUAAGUGCGCUAUUGCUUCAUGCUCUCCUCUAGUAAUAAUGGAUUUGCUGAAAUGAGCAAUUACAUUUAUAAACAGAGAACCUCUCCCACAUGGAGAGAUAUACCCACAAAGUGGUGACCUUUUGGAUAACUAAUGCCAGAACUUGCACUAUAGGAAGACUUAGGAACAUCAGACAUUUGUAACUGUGGCUCUGAAGUGAUAAGGUACCUAUGAGGAAUAACGGUGUCAACAGAGAAAGUUCCUCCCUCGUCUCAGGAAUUUGAUGAAUAACUCUGACUGUAAGCAUAUACGUUCUUUUAUUAUUAUUAUUAAAAAAUGUCUCAUUGCUUUAAAAUGUUUUUAUGUUAAAUGUGCAAAAGAGAGCUUAGCAACAGGCUUUCUCUAUAAGAAAGUGGGUUUUGAUGGGUGGGGUGUCAAGAUGUGCUUUCACCAGAAAUAUGGCUGUUCCCACUGCCCAUAAACACAUCUUUAUGAUAUAUGUGAGAACAGUUUUAGUUCAGUAGUUGCUAAUAAUUUGGCUUUGGGAUUUUUUCAAGUUCAUUUUACGCUUAUAUAAAAAAGAGUGAUUAUCUUUCUCCUAACCUUUCUGGUUUUCCUGAUUUCCAAAUUAAUGAAUAGGAAUAUUAUCAUCAAUAGGGGGCACUGACACUAGCUUCCAUUUUAGACAAUAGAAUUUUUUAAGUGCAUUGAGUGCAGAUUCUAGCAUACCUUUGGGCUAUAAAAUAAUCUAAUAUUCUAAUUGUGCUUCACAGUCAACUGUUUGCUGUUUCUUGGGCAUCCGUUAUGCAUUGAGCAGCUGCUUCUAUUGAGAUGGCCAUGACUGCUUUUAGGUACUUUCCAUUAAUACAAUACAGGGGCAAGAAAUAUGUAUCAGUAUCCAGACUUCUGAAGUACCUGCUUUAACAGCACCUCUGAAAUUUCUUAACCAUCUUUUCAAAUCUAUCCUAUUUAUGCUUUUGUGUUCUUCCUAUUUUGACAUUUCACUUUCAACCGUAUUCUAAGAUUUUAAUUAAAGUGUAUUUAACCUCAAUCUUGAUAUGUGUACCAAGGUGUUGCAAUAUUAAUCUUCUAAUAUGGCUUAACAAUUCCUCUGGCUCAUUAUCAGAAUCUCAUCCAGCUUCUUAUCCUCUCACAGGCAAUCUUUGUCCAGAGAGAUUUUUAAGUCUUGACAAUAAUGAUGUAGUGUGGGGAGCAAGAUUUCUCAUAAUGAGUGGUUGUUUAAUUUGUAGCUGAGUGGCAUUUUCACUUCUUAGGUAUUGUACUGUUUGUCUAUGAAAAUCAGAAAGUCUGUCUCUGCACAGCACCACAGAAUGGGGUACAAGGACUGGGGGACGUUUGCAGCCUCUUCAAAUGCUUCAUAUAAUAACAAUAGAAAAAGCAUUCUGAAUUAGAUAGAAAGGUGUAACCUAUAUCUACUGUUCACAUGCUUCAGGUCUCUUUCUCAUCUGCUUCACCUUCUCCAUGCCAUUUUGUUUGUAAAGAUACAAUAUUUUUCACAUACUGAAAAAUAUAUUUUUGAAUGAAAACCAGUUCUUGUAUCUGUGAGUUGUAGACAAACAUUCAGCUCAUCUCAGUAUCUGCCAGUUCAGUGGCAGAAUGAACUCUAAUACUAAGUGUAACAACACUGUGGCAGACAAUUCCAUUAAAGACAAUAAUGCAUAUGUUUUAGAUGUUUGCAUACAUUGGCAGAAUUUGGCAUAUGCCUGUCCUAUCAGCCAGAGGUGGAAAAAGGACUGGAAAAAGGACAACAGAACUAAUUUUGUCAAGGACACAAGAGUAAUGUAUUUAGACAUAAUUUAAAAGAUUUGAAUGAUAUUAAUCCAAGCAGAGGACAGUUAAAUAUAAUAAAAGUAAAAACCCUGAAAAAUGAGUGUAAGAACUCAUUUAGUCUUUUUACUGAAACUACAACAGGCUGACUUACCAUAAGCUAAAAAAGAUGUCAUUGAAUUAUCAGCAUUUACCAGUUAUUAUUUGUGGUUUCCAAGAUGCUCCUGCCUCUCACCAUAUUCUGAAUGACUACAUUCAACUCCACGUGUAAUGAAGUUUGAAGUCUCAGACUAAUAAAAAAAAUAAAAAAUAACAGAUAUAUCUUACUAAAGUAGUGAGAAAUCCUGUUCAACUCAGGGGGUCUAAUUGUAGGAAUGAAGGACAUCAGAUCUGUCUCUAAAAAUAUACUGUGCAAAAUGGAAGAUUAGAGAAAACAGUUUGCUAAAAGGACUACUUCAAGUCAUUUCAGUGGUGGUGUUCUCUGGGGUAUAGUCUGUGUACCAGUAAAAAUCUCCAUGAUUUUUAGUAAUUCUAUUAAAGUAGCACAUCACCUCCAAAUAUUGAUAAAGAUUGGGCAGAUUCACUUCAGGAUGAACCCUGCAUACACACAUAUUUUCUGAAAUGUAAAUAGUUGGCACCUGCUGAGCCAUAAUCCCUAAAUCAGAAACACAAAUGUUUGGAUUAAUAAAAAAAUGGAAAGCCUCAUUCUUUCUUGUUGUCUUCUGAAUGCAUAUUUUUUCACUUUCAGUGUUAUGUGUAUGACUGGCAUGUUUUAUCCAGGACUAGAAAUUCAGCAUGGCUAUUUGCUGUAGUAACCACAAAGGACAGAGGUGAUAAAAUUCAAGCUAAUCCAAAACUUUCAAUGACUUACAUGGGUUUUAAAAUCAAGCCUUCAAUUCAAUAGUACAGAUAUGAUGCAGUGUGAAACAACUGAGAUUUGACACUCUUAAGAAUGAAAAUUAAAGGAUAAAUAUUUUAUCUCUUUAAAGAAGUAGUUCACUGUGAUACAUGAAAAAGUUGAAAAAAUGUGAAACUUAAACAUAUGUGUACUAUUAUUGAAAUCUGUUUGAUUUUUUUGCAUGCAUAAAGUUUUAGCAUUCUACUGCAUCCGAGACUAAAUUUUCAGUAAUGUUUGGGUUUUUAGCACAUGCCUGAAACUGCUGUCUUUCAUAUUUGAAGUGCAUAGGUAAGGAAUAGAGACUGCAGACAUACAGAUUAAUCCACUGUGCAAACUAAAGCUAUGAUUACAAGCAAACUGCUUAAACUCUGAUGCAGUUUGAAGGAAGAAAGUUUGAAAUCUUUUACCAACACUGUUUAUUAUUGGACAGGAUUGUGAUGUUUUAUUUGUUUUUGUUUUGUUCUGUUUUUGUUUUGGGGGGAUUCAAUACAGAAAUUGGAGGAGUGUGUUGGACUGCAGCUGGUGGUACUAAUUACCUGGGGCAAAGGAAGUUGUCUUUCCAUUAUGUUUUGUGCUGUUUUUCAGACCUUAUGGAUCCCAGAAGGUGAACCUAUAAUCAAGUCUUUACUGGGGGCUUCUUGGCAAGGCUAUCUCCAGCCACUGUUCCUGGCCUCAUAUAAGGUGUUCUAGAAAGGGGUUCCUCCAGCCGUGCAUCAGGACAAGGAACCAAGUGCUCCAGAGAGCCAAGUGAAUUGUUACCUGUCACAGCAUCCCCAUGUUCAUCUCUUAAUACUUGUGGGUGUGAUACAAACCACCUAAAAGAGAUUCACUGCCUCUUUUACAGCCCAGACUAGACAGUUUCCUGUGUUCCAUCAGUGCAGUUCUACUGCUGCACAUUUUGGUUUGGCUGAUUUUCUCCUGAGUUAGCCAGAAAAGCUGUAAUUUUGAGAAGGACACAGUGUCACUGUAGACAGUAAGCUGAAGAGUCGGAUGCUAUUUGAAGACAAAUGUAACACUUGGGAGACUUAAACAAUCACAAGGAAUUGAGGAAGAACUGUUUCUUCAUAUUUUUGUGACUUUACUGGAAAGUCAUGUGUCAAUAUAUGUUGAAAAGGAUGUUAAAAAUAAGAAAGGUGUACAUAAAAAGAAUUCUGAAACAAACAAAAAAAAGUUAGUGAAAAUACAUCAAGGGCAAGACACAAGAGAAGCUCUAUCUAUUGACUCAGUUUAGACGGAGAAGUCACCUGACUGCAGGUUAGCAGGACUUUAAUCAAGAAAAAAAAAUCUAAUGAGCAGCAAUUUGAAAUACAGCAUUUGGAAAGGUCAAAAUGGUACAUUACAUCCCUAUUAUCCAAAAGAACAGAUGAGUUUAAUAUCCUGACAGCAUUUUCCUGUGAAGAAGAUAUUAAACAAGAACUGAAAAUGGCACAAGGUUCCCUCUUCCUUUCUUUUGACAAAGACUGUAACAAGAUGAUGAAAUUGUACAGAAUAAAUCUCAUCCUGCUUUAAUGUUCAGAUUGGGGAUCCUGCCUAGAUUUCAAAAAUCUAAGCUAAUAAAAGAGACAAAACAUAUGUUAUUUGUUUCAGGUAUAUCCACAUGAAGCAGAAGACUUUUACUAUACAUUUUCCUACUUACAUGACCCAGUUUCCAUCAAUAUUUUCUAGAUUUAAAAAUAGGAAUAAUUGGUAACAGAAGGUACAUAAUGCAUCUAAUUUCAAGAAGUAAAGCAUUGAACUGCAACAGAUAAUGCACUGCAUCAAAACAGCUUAAAAUGUAAAUUUUUCAGCUUCCAUAUGAAAGACUGCAGAAUACAAAGAAUAAAUUCCAACACACAAUGCACUGUAUGUAUUCUGCUUUGGUGAGUCCUUGGCAGUGUGGAACUGUUUGAAGGCAAAGGAAUUUGCACUAUAUCCCGUUGAUUGUUAGCAAUUCAAUUAAUAUAUGGAACUGUCACGAUUUGUUGUCUUAAAUCUUGUUAAAUUGGCCCUCGUGUUAAAUCUUAUUAUUACAACCAAAAAAUGCUGUGCUUAAAAAUCAAAACAUGAGUAUACAGCACACACCUUUAUUAAUAUGACAUGCACUUGUAUUCAUUCCACAUGAGAUAUGAGAAGUCUGCUGUUACAUAAGAGCAUAACAAGUUAUAUAAUAAAGACAUUCAUGAUUAUUAAAGAAAAACAAAUUAUAUGAUUCCAAAAGAUACACAUCUUCAAGUAUAACUGGCUGAAGUAGACGUACAUGGCUUUGAAUAAGAACUCGUAAGUAGAAAUCAUACAGAACCUCUUUUUUUCUUCACCAUCUAGAGAAUACAUCUGAAAAAAUAUCUCUGUGGUGCUUUACGUGCAGUACCUUGCUGAGAAAACCCAUUCUGCUUUGGCCAAGAGAGAGAAAAUGAACAUGCCCAAAAUAUGUUUUUCAAGCCUUGAGUGGAAAAAAAAAUGUUUUUUGGGUUUUUUUUUUUCUUUUUCUUAGGUGAUCUUAUUUUCCACUAGAAAUUGUAGAUACAUCCUUUGUUUUGCAACUGAAAUGCAAGAUAGCUUUUUAAAUGCGUUGGCAAUGUGUGACCAAUUUUGAAACUUCAAAGGUUUUGCAAAACUAUAGAAAAGAAGAUCCCUGAAGGGUGCUAAUUUCCAUAGGCAUUUAUGAAAUGAGUGUUUUCCAUGUAUCUAAAAGAAAUCCACUGGAUAACAUUUAAAGUUUAUAGAGAGUUCCUUGUGAUUUAGUUAAUAGCUCCUGAAACUAAAAUGACAACAAAUAACUCUUUUCUGUUUCCCAACCAGAAAUACGAGCAGAGUAUGAAGCGUCCAGAAAAUAAUAAGCAAAACUGUUUUUCAGUGAAUUAUUGUUCAUAGUUCAGAUCCAUGGAUUUUUAUCAUGCAAAUUACAAAGAAUUCAGACCAUAUAUAAUUCUGCUAUUAAGAAAUAAAUUAUAUGCUGUUGUUAUCCGACUUUUGAAAAUCAGUAUGGAAUGACUGAGUAGAGAACCCAGCCUACUGAGGAGAGUCUCAUCAUGUAAUGGCACAAACAACUUCAGCAAUUCUUAGAGAGUGAGUACCAAAUAUCUGUAGAAGACAGUGGCAUUUGUUACACUUUCUUUCAGUUUGCUCCUGACUAUGCAAAAUGCUGUUACUGCGUCACACACUAUUUAACAUGGGAACUACCUUGAAUACAUUAGGCAGGUUUAUUUAGUUAUUUCAUGAAAUAGAUUUUUUCCAGUAGGUGAUCACAGUAAAUCUGUUUUGAAAAAUUACCAAAAUAAUCAAGUGUAUCUUGUGAACCAAUAUACCAGUUUGUAGUGAAAUUUUAAGAGGUACUUACUUCCCUUACUUACCUUCAAUAAAUCAGAUGGUGGUUGGGCAUUGCCGUGAAAUCUUUCACUAAUGAAGGAAGGACGUUAAGAAUAAAAUCUGACUGUAAAAUGUUGGACCUGCGAAACCAUAAAUUACAUCUCAAAGCAAGGGAUAUUCCUUAAAUUAAUGGCAGAUUUAAAAUAAAAAUUCAACUGAUGGAAAAUGUUUUGUAUUGAAACAAGAUCCUAAAAGAGAGAAGUCAAAACACAGCUGACCAUGUGCAGCACACACAUUCCCACACACUUGGCUUUGUUCCAGGAGGAGCUGGUUUAUUGUAAUCCCAGUAAGAAAGGUACCAUGAUGCAUUGCUUAAAAUACAACUUACUACAGCUAAUACUGUACAGAAAAUGAGUGCAUUACACAUAGUUGUUUGUUCCUUUGGAUACUGGGAACCCCGUGAUGGGACUCCAAGCAGGGCACAGCAUCCUGUGCAGAACUUCUGCAUAGAAAAGCUACCCAGUAUUCUAGUCUUUUGAGUGCUUCUAGGGCUUUCCCAACAGAAAAUAAUUCUGCUUACCAUUUCUACUGUCAAACUAAGAAGAUGUGCAUGUGGGAAUUUGUCACUGCUAUUUCACAUAAAGGCAAGGAGAAGCAGGUGAUGCAAUUGACAGUACCAUGUGGGAGCUGCCCAUAGGCUGCUUUGUUAUCCAGUGAGGUCUGUCCUGCAAAGAGCAGAUGCACAGCCCACAGCACAGACUUGAAGGUUGAGCACAGUGUGGAACAUAGUGCAGAUCUGCCCCUGCAGAGGGAAACUGCUAUGUGGAUCACUAAUUCCUCCAUGUUUGAUGGUCUUCAGGUCAGGAUCUCUGCACAUAUAUGCAUACAUACCUGUUUUAUAUCUGCAUUCUUUUGUGCUCCAUAGUGAUGCAUUGUAUUCAAAUCUAUCCACAUUCAAAAUCUGCACGUCUAUUGCAAAUGCUCCUUUAUUCAUGUCUCUGUGUCCAUCAAGCUGGAAUUGUGCAGGAACUCAGAUGGGCUUAUAAUUACACAAUUUGUACCUCCAAAGGCUUUUAAAAGUCUAUGUAGGUAUAUUUUUGCAAGCAUGAUUGUUGUGCCUGCAGCUCAAAAUCUGGUUAUACUUGCAUUUGAGUUUGUUUUGUUUAGUAACACAAUGCUACUCGAUAUUACAUGAAUAAAUCAUCUAUAAGCUAGAAAACACAUCAAAAUCGGAGGAACAAAGUCAGUUGCAUUAUUAAAGAGAGAAAAUAAUUUGACAUGAAAGGCGUUUUAGAGACAAUACAGCCUGUCUGAUUUACUGAUGUGCACGGAAACUAAUAUAUCAUUCAGCCUUGCUACCACAUGACAGCUGUUCUGCAUCUGAUGGGAAAUGUGAUGGUGCUCGCAGUCCAGUUCAUACUGGACAGGUGUUGACAUCACAAAAAUCAUCAUCAGAACUGGCACUAAUUGGCACCUUUGUUGACAGCCUCAUCAGAGAGGCCAGUGAUUGAAUCAGCAUGGAUGCUGCCUUGCAAGCUCCGCUGGUAAGGGAUACUGGGCUCAGCUCUUCCUUCACUGAAAUCAUCCUGAGUUUUGCACAUACUUCAGCUCCUGAUGCAAUUUGCCUGUAAAUUCUGUAUGCAUACACACUGCCAUGGCAUACACGUUGAAGUGAUGCCCCCAUACAUAGUGGGCACUGAAACCUGUCCUCCGAAUUUGGCCAACAUAAGAGACCGGAGGCUUAGGUUUGUGAGGAAACAAGACCAAAGCAGGUGGAACCAAAGACUGCUGAUGUUGCAGUCACAUAUCACCCACUAAGAGCUCCAUUCUCACCCAGGCUUUUAUCAAUUUUAGUUUAAUUUAAAUGGAACUGUGGGUUGGUGGACUUCUACUAGCCACUUUACUCCUCCAUGCCUCAGUUUAUUCUUUCACAUGAGGGUCAUAAUGUUUGUCUCAGUCUCAGAUAUAGUUAGGUGUUGCUAAUUAAAGAAUUCCUUAAAGAAUUUUAACAGGUUUGAUGGAAGGCAAUAGACACAUUAAAACUCAGGCUUCACAUUUAUAGGAACACUGGUUUCUUUAUAAUGCCUUUGAAUUGUAGGCAGUUACUAUUGCAUGCAUCCUUUUUGCAUUUAACCAUCUUUCCAUUCACUCUGUUGAAUAUUAAGUUUUUUCUCCUCUCAGCCUGGAUUGUUCAAAUUAGUGCUUAAAAUUAAUUUUUCUUUGGUAUACAGAAACCUAUAUUGUUUGUGGGUUAAUUAUCACUUUUUUUUUAGCUCUAGAGAAAUGCAAUAUAGGUCAAUAAUGUGACUGAAUAAUUUGAGAAUAUUUUUAUGGCAAUAAAAAGAAGUAAAAAAUGUGUGAUAAUUUUGAUCAUAUUUAAUAGCAGUAACUAAAGUAUAUAGAGAUUAUUAGAGCUCACUAGUGCAAUUUUUCAGAGAAGGAUGAAAGGGAGAAAGAGAAUGAGAAGGAAGGAAAUGAAGGAAAGAAGAAACGAAGAAAGAAUGAUAGAAAAAAGUAUAAAGGUCAGGAAAAAUAAAUAAAAUUUUAAAAUAAAUAAAUAAAUAAAUAAAUAAAAGAACUGUUCCAGUUUCAUGUGUAUGGAAAAGAAUUUGUUGGACAAGGAAAUGUCAGUAUGUAGAUGUAGUGGAAAUGCAAGUCAUGUCUUGAAGCAGUGAUUGAGCACCUGGUGGAAAGACGGGGCCACCCCAGGGGAGCUCAGGUGCAUGCAAUGCUGCUGAGUGACCGGGAGGAGUGGAGCCAGGAUCCACCUCUUCCCAAACCACAUUUAAGUGCUGGCAAAGAAAACGAGGGGAUCUCACUGGAGAUCUCUAUGUACAUGAAAUCUUCAGAAGGUAAGCAGAGUCAUGUUUUUUUGUUGUUGUUUUGUUUUUUGUUCCUGUGCUGAUUGCUGUUGUAUUUGAGAAAGUGCAGCCUAGGACUUUGCUACUCUGCUGUUGUUGCGGUUUCCAUUAUAGUACAGUAGGCAAAAGUGAGAUAAACAAAUCUGAUAAUAGACCCACAAAGUUAGGUGAAAUAUAUCUUAAAAUAUUCAAAACUAAUGUAAUGUCUGACAUCUGUCUGUUUGUAUCGUUGUCCUGAGGCUUACUUCCCUUAGAAAUGAUAAGGCUGUAAGAUUACGUGCACAGUUACAGAAGCUCAAAACAGUUGCUGAGCUGGAUUCUGAUCUCUCACCAUUGAUUUUUUGCUACUGUAUUACAUCUGAUUUCAAGGAAUUGUCUUAUUUACAUGCAUCUACAUAAAUUCAAUAUCAAGCCACAAGCUUUUUCUCUGCCAGUGCUGAUAAUGAGCAGUGGCUGCUAUGGCAUGCUUCUAAAGACACUCUGGAAAAAGAAUAUGUCAUCAUUUGCCUAAUGAGAGGAAAGAGGGAGAGAGAUUACUAAAUGUUUUCCCUCUAGCUCAAUUAAAGGAGAGAGUGCAGGACAAAGAGAGAGAAGGCAUGUGAAGGAGAGAUCUGCAUACAUGACUGAUUUCUUCCUACCUUUUGCUACAAAAGCAUUCUCGUUAGGUAGAACUGAAGAAGACAGGAGGAUGUAGGAGCACAAAGGCUAAAUCCUUCUCCUGAAAUUAGACAAUGGUAGUAUGGACUUUCAGUUCAAGCUGCACACUUAACUUCUAAAAAUAGCUUUCUUGCAAAGAAAAGAAUAUAACAAGAUACUGUGCUGUCAUUAGGAGUCUAAAGACAAAUUAUCCGUAUAGAAAUGAAUAGGCCAAGCUUAUCUACUUGCUGAAAGCUCCUUUGACCACCUAUAGCCUCCUUUCAGGACUAGUCUUAACUACUAAUCUAACCACAAAAGACUUUGUCCAUGCCCAUGCAGAUGUUGCCAAGCUAGUAACUAUGGUUGGGGACAUGGUCGGAAGGGUGGCAGUUCACUGGGCCGGGCCUGGGCAUCACACCAAACAUUUAACAUAACAGAUGGCUACAAGAUAGUGCUUCAGGCCAUAUCCUGGGCCAGUUUAUUCUUUUUAUGACUCAGAAGUCUCUGGGUUUGUGUGUGUUUAGGAUUCCAGGGAAUCAAGGCUCUUAGCACAGCCUAAAAACUGUGGUGUGUGUAUGUACAUCACGAAAGCCAAUAAGAGUGUUUUCUUUCUAAGUGUAGAAAAGAAUGCUGCAUCCAGUUGUAUAGCAGAGCAGUGUAUGCACAUUUUUUCUGCUGGAAGACCACCUGUCCCUUUUGGCUGCAACACAAAUAUAAACCAGCUUGCUAGAAGGAUUUCUUCCUUUCCCCAGCUCUCCCAUUGACUACAAGUGCAGCUCACAGCAUCUUUCUCCCAUGUUGCAGGCACACAAUAGUGACACUUCCAGUCCAUGGGCCUUGAUCAGCACACUGCCAAUUGACAGCCUAUGAGCCAGCAUCUGCAACUGGCCAAACGCAUGAGAGGGCAGGUGAUGGCUG